AUACGGAGGGUGCAAGCGUUACUCGGAAUCACUGGGCGUAAAGCGCACGUAGGCGGACUGGAAAGUUGGGGGUGAAAUCCCGGGGCUCAACCCCGGAACUGCCUCCAAAACUUCCAAUCUAGAGAUCGAGAGAGGUGAGUGGAAUUCCAAGUGUAGAGGUGAAAUUCGUAGAUAUUUGGAGGAACACCAGUGGCGAAGGCGGCUCACUGGCUCGAUACUGACGCUGAGGUGCGAAAGCGUGGGGAGCAAACAGGAUUAGAAACCCCGGUAGUCC
rnacentral:rRNA from 1 species